rnacentral:rRNA from 1 species
UACGUAGGGUGCAAGCGUUGUCCGGAAUUAUUGGGCGUAAAGAGCGUGUAGGCGGCCAGGUAGGUCUGCUGUGAAAACUCGAGGCUUAACCUCGAGCUGUCGGCGGAAACCAUCUGGCUAGAGUCCGGAAGAGGAGAAUGGAAUUCCCGGUGUAGCGGUGAAAUGCGCAGAUAUCGGGAAGAACACCCGUGGCGAAGGCGGUUCUCUGGGACGGUACUGACGCUGAUGCGCGAAAGCGUGGGGAGCGAUCCGG